rnacentral:rRNA from 1 species
ACAGCAGCAGCCACGGGAAUACGUAGGUGGCAAGCGUUAUCCGGAAUUAUUGGGCGUAAAGCGCGCGCAGGCGGUUUCUUAAGUCUGAUGUGAAAGCCCACGGCUCAACCGUGGAGGGUCAUUGGAAACUGGGGAACUUGAGUGCAGAAGAGAAAAGCGGAAUUCCACGUGUAGCGGUGAAAUGCGUAGAGAUGUGGAGGAACACCAGUGGCGAAGGCGGCUUUUUGGUCUGUAACUGACGCUGAGGCGCGAAAGCGUGGGGAGCAAACAGGAUUAGAUACCCGUGUAGUCCCUGUCUCUUAUAC